GUUGAAGAACGUAGCGAAAUGCGAUAAGUAAUGUGAAUUGCAGAAUUCAGUGAAUCAUCGAAUCUUUGAACGCACAUUGCGCCCCCUGGUAUUCCGGGGGGCAUGCCUGUCCGAGCGUCAUUACAACCCUCAAGCUCAGCUUGGUAUUGGGCCCCGCCGACCCGGCGGGCCCUAAAGUCAGUGGCGGUGCCGUCCGGCUCCGAGCGUAGUAAUUCUUCUCGCUCUGGAGGUCCGGUCGUGUGCUCGCCAGCAACCCCCAAUUUUUUUCAGGUUGACCUCGGAUCAGGUAGGGAUACCCGCUGAACUUAAGCAUAUCAAUAAGCGGAGGA
rnacentral:misc_RNA from 1 species